AAGGUUUUGUGCUAUUGUCCUGGCUCAAUCAGAGAGAGCCACAAAAACCAAAACUGCAGUUUCAGGCUAUCUGAUUGAGCCGAGACAGUAUCGCAAAACUUCUC
rnacentral:pre_miRNA from 1 species